rnacentral:misc_RNA from 1 species
AUCAAUUUCCGCAGUUAAGAAGUGUUCAUCUGUCAGUGCGAGUCCCAUCUGUGAGUGAAGAUGCUGUUGACCUGAUCUCGUCACUUUGUUCUUGGGAUCCUAGCAGAAGGCCUAAAGCAGGAGAGGUUCUUCAACAUUCUUUUUUCCAUCCUUGCCACUAUGUCCCACCAUCUCUUCGACCGAGAACAAUGGGGAUGCCAAAUACUUCUAUAUCUGUGGGAACCAAGGGUACUCUGGAGCAGAAGGGUAUCAG